rnacentral:rRNA from 16 species
GGAUGCGAUCAUACCAGCACUAAAGCACCGGAUCCCAUCAGAACUCCGAAGUUAAGCAUGCUUGGGCGAGAGUAGUACUAGGAUGGGUGACCUCCUGAGAAGUCCUCGUGUUGCAUUCC